rnacentral:rRNA from 1 species
UUCGCCCUUAGAGUUUGAUCCUGGCUCAGGACGAACGCUGGCGGCGCGCCUAACACAUGCAAGUCGAACGGAGCUUAGAGAGCUUGCUUUUUAAGCUUAGUGGCGAACGGGUGAGUAACGCGUGAGUAACCUGCCCUAGAGUGGGGGACAACAGUUGGAAACGACUGCUAAUACCGCAUAAGCCCACGGUGCCGCAUGACACUGAGGGAAAAGGAUUUAUUCGCUUUAGGAUGGACUCGCGUCCAAUUAGCUAGUUGGUGAGGUAACGGCCCACCAAGGCGACGAUUGGUAGCCGGACUGAGAGGUUGAACGGCCACAUUGGGACUGAGACACGGCCCAGACUCCUACGGGAGGCAGCAGUGGGGGAUAUUGCACAAUGGGGGAAACCCUGAUGCAGCGACGCCGCGUGGAGGAAGAAGGUUUUCGGAUUGUAAACUCCUGUCGUUAGGGACGAUAAUGACGGUACCUAACAAGAAAGCACCGGCUAACUACGUGCCAGCAGCCGCGGUAAAACGUAGGGUGCAAGCGUUGUCCGGAAUUACUGGGUGUAAAGGGAGCGCAGGCGGGAAGACAAGUUGGAAGUGAAAACCAUGGGCUCAACCCAUGAAUUGCUUUCAAAACUGUUUUUCUUGAGUAGUGCAGAGGUAGAUGGAAUUCCCGGUGUAGCGGUGGAAUGCGUAGAUAUCGGGAGGAACACCAGUGGCGAAGGCGGUCUACUGGGCACCAACUGACGCUGAGGCUCGAAAGCAUGGGUAGCAAACAGGAUUAGAUACCCUGGUAGUCCAUGCCGUAAACGAUGAUUAAUAGGUGUUGGGGGGAUUGACCCCCCUCAGUGCCGCCGGUUACCACAAUAAGUAAAUCCACCCUGGGGGAGUACGACCGCAAGGAUGAAACUCAAAGGUAUUGACGGGGGCCCGCACAAGCAGUGGAGUAUGUGGUUUAAUUCGAAGCAACGCGAAGAACCUUACCAGGUCUUGACAUCCGAUGCAUAACACAGAGAUGUGUGAAAUCCUUCGGGACAUCGAGACAGGUGGUGCAUGGUUGUUGUCAGCUCGUGUCGUGAGAUGUUGGGUUAAGUCCCGCAACGAGCGCAACCCUUAUUGCCAGUUACUACGUUAAGAGGACUCUGGCGAGACUGCCGUUGACAAAACGGAGGAAGGUGGGGAUGACGUCAAAUCAUCAUGCCCUUUAUGACCUGGGCUACACACGUACUACAAUGGCGUUAAACAAAGAGAAGCAAGACCGCGAGGUGGAGCAAAACUCAAAAACAACGUCUCAGUUCAGAUUGCAGGCUGCAACUCGCCUGCAUGAAGUCGGAAUUGCUAGUAAUCGCGGAUCAGCAUGCCGCGGUGAAUACGUUCCCGGGCCUUGUACACACCGCCCGUCA